rnacentral:rRNA from 1 species
UACGGAGGGGGCUAGCGUUGUUCGGAAUCAUUGGGCGUAAAGGGCGCGUAGGCGGCCCGAUAAGUCCCGCGUGAAAGCCCCCGGCUCAACUGGGGAACUGCGCGGGGAACUAUCGGGCUUGAGUUCGGGAGAGGGAAGCGGAAUUCCGGGUGUAGCGGUGAAAUGCGUAGAUAUCCGGAGGAACACCGGUGGCGAAGGCGGCUUCCUGGACCGACACUGACGCUGAGGCGCGAAAGCUAGGGGAGCAAACGGG